rnacentral:tRNA from 1 species
GGCAGCGCAUCGGGUGCGGUACGACAUGGACUUCAAAUACGCGCUCGGUCUGGAUCUGGACGAUCCGGGGUUCGACGCCUCGGUGCUGUCG